GUAUCCUCUUUCCUUUCAGCAUGUUUGAAAUUUUUCAAAAUUAAAAGUUAAAAACAAACAGAUGAGCAUCAGAUCCCUAACCAUAUAGAAUAUUAAAAAUUAAGGGGUAUAGGAUUAGGGGAGAUAUCCCAAGAAUUCUCUGUCAGUGGUUUUCCCUGUUUAAUACAUUGGAAUUGGGAGCAGGAAAAAAAAUGAAGGUAAAAAUAAGUAUUUUAAUAAUCCAAGCCACAUGGUACAUAAAAAACUCUUAGAGAACGUGGGAUAUCUUAAAGUUAAGGCUGUUUUUUGCUUAUUCAUAAUAAAUUAAUGGAUAAUUAACUUGCAUUUAAUAUUAAAAGGAAUGACUAUGACUUCCCAAAAGUACAGAGUGUGGUCUGUGAUACUAGGCUUGGUAUUGGCAAUGCUAAAUUGCAGCCACUAUCGUGGACUGUCGGAACGGAAGAGUCUCGUGUCUAGGGCAGUAAUUGGAGCGUAGUACUAG